UUCCCGCCUGGUUUCGGGGCUCGCCUUCACGGCUCUCUCCGCAUUCUCAGUUGCCAGUAGGCUCUGGUCUAAUUUCAGAUUGAGGAAACGGAAGGGCUCUGCUGCUUCUCUGGAUGCCGACUCCGCUCAGUCGUCGACUGAUUCGGUUGAGUUUAUGGAGGGGAAUGGCGGCAGCAUCAGGUGAGUCCCAAUUGCUCAGUUUAUUUCUUUAUUUGUAUUUAGUUUGUCUAUCUGCUUGUUGUAAUAUGGUUAUUUUAAGGGAAUUUUUAUGCGAGGUUGUUCUUAUAUGUGUUUACUGCUACAUUUCAUUGUCAGGUGGGAAUUGAAGUCUGAACUUUAAUUUUGUGAAAAUUUUAAAUUCGUUAAAAUCAGACAAGGAGCUGCCUAAAAAAUGGAAUUUGGUGUUAGGAUGAUAAUCUGUUAGUGUGUCAAAUUUUGGUGUAAAAAUGGAGUUAUGGAAGUUAGGUUUAAUAAUGUUUGUUCUCACUUAUUGUGGUAUUGGAGUUGUCUAUGAAUGAGUCCAGUUAAGGUUAAGGUAAUUAAGAGAUUUUAGGAGUUUCUGCUUGUUUGCAUGGUGGUGGCUCUUUUAAUUGUUUAGGUAGACUGUAUAUCGAGUCAAAGAAUGAAAACAGUCUUGCUAGUCGGGAUAAUACUAAAAACUAUCUAAGUGAUUAUUUGUAGUAAAACAAUUUUCAUCUUGAUUCUGGAACACUAAACAUAAAGCAUUGGUUUAUCUUUUCGAACUUUGACAAAGGAUGGAUUUUUUGUUGUUAAUUAAUUAGAUAUCAAAAUAAAUUACACAUGUUGACCCUUCACUAGGUUAAUACACAUAUUGUGUAACACAAUAAAACUCAAUUUGAGUGUUUAUCAACUAGCAACAUGAUUUUCUUAACACAACCAGUUUAACAAAUGUAACAAUUUAUGUUUAAAGUAAUGACUUAACAAAUUUAUGACUAGUUUACCUGACACUGCUUAUAUCUUGGAUAUUUUUAUACAUCAAAUUUAUCACAAUUCAAAUGGGUUGGAUUAGUGUCAUGAAUUAAAGUAACAUCUUUUUUUUUCAUUUCAGGAUGAGAUUUUGCUGUUGAUGAGAUGGACUGCAUUCUGUAUGAUGUUCAAAUGUAUGUUGUUGAGAUGGACUGCAUUCUGUAUGUUGUUGAGAUGGACCGCAUUAUGUAUGCUGUUGUUUUUCAUUGUAGAAUGAGAUUUUGGAAUGGAGUUAGUUGAGAUUUUAUCAUGUUGUUGAGAUGGACUGCAUUCAGUUUCUGCCUUUCAUUUUGUGAUAUUGGCAGUGGAGCAGUGGAGUCAUUUUGUCAUUUUGUAAGACUGCAUUGUAUUCUGUAUGAUGUUCAAGUGUGUGUUUUCUUAUGUAUAAGAGCAAUAUUAGGAUUUUCGUAUAUAUAAGUGUGUGUUUUCUUAUGUAUAAUUUCAUUAAGU
rnacentral:lncRNA from 1 species